rnacentral:rRNA from 1 species
UUGCCUACGGGAGGCUGCAGUGGGGAAUAUUGCACAAUGGGCGAAAGCCUGAUGCAGCGACGCCGCGUGGGGGAUGAAGGCCUUCGGGUUGUAAACCCCUUUCAGCAGGGAAGAAGCGAAAGUGACGGUACCUGCAGAAGAAGCGCCGGCUAACUACGUGCCAGCAGCCGCGGUAAUACGUAGGGCGCAAGCGUUGUCCGGAAUUAUUGGGCGUAAAGAGCUCGUAGGCGGUUUGUCGCGUCUGCUGUGAAAACCCGAGGCUCAACCUCGGGCCUGCAGUGGGUACGGGCAGACUAGAGUGCGGUAGGGGAGACCGGAAUUCCUGGUGUAGCGGUGGAAUGCGCAGAUAUCAGGAGGAACACCGAUGGCGAAGGCAGGUCUCUGGGCCGCAACUGACGCUGAGGAGCGAAAGCAUGGGUAGCGAACAGGAUUAGAUACCCCAGUAGUCC